CCCCAAAUCUUUGAUGGUUUUAAAAUAGCUUUGUGUCAUUUCCCUCCAGUCUCUCUGACAGGACCGGCAAAUUAAUGGAGCAAAAGUUCUAUUACUGGGGAAAUAUCGCCAUUCAUUCUGUGGACUCUACUAAAAAUAGGUUUCAAGAUUAGUAAUGUGGUUGACACCAAAUUCCUACCUUACCCGUGUUAUGUAAUUCAAAAUUGUGAUAUCAGACAAUUUUUGCCUCUCUUUAGGUGGCAGGGUGGAAAAUGAGUCAUCCGCAACCUUUGUUUAGUUCUGGAUUCAGAAUGACGAAGACAGUUUGAGAACAGUUAAAUACAAAACAGAAAGUAGGCUCUACAGGAUCAUUCUUUUCCUUGGCAACUAUCAUGCUUUUCCCAAAUGAUGUACAGAUUUUUAGGCAUUCUUUAUCAAAUGGCUUAAAAAAAUAAUUGCAAAUAGCAGCAACAACUAAAU